CCUACGGGAGGCAGCAGUGAGUAAUAUUGGUCAAUGGACGAGAGUCUGAACCAGCCAAGUAGCGUGAAGGAUGACUGCCCUAUGGGUUGUAAACUUCUUUUAUAUGGGAAUAAAAUGUUCCACGUGUGGGAUUUUGUAUGUACCAUAUGAAUAAGGAUCGGCUAACUCCGUGCCAGCAGCAGCGGUAAUACGGAGGAUCCGAGCGUUAUCCGGAUUUAUUGGGUUUAAAGGGAGCGUAGGUGGAUUGUUAAGUCAGUUGUGAAAGUUUGCGGCUCAACCGUAAAAUUGCAGUUGAAACUGGCAGUCGUGAGUACAGUAGAGGUGGGCGGAAUUCGUGGUGUAGCGGUGAAAUGCUUAGAUAUCACGAAGAACUCCGAUUGCGAAGGCAGCUCACUGGACUGCAACUGACACUGAGGCUCGAAAGUGUGGGUAUCAAACAGGAUUAGAUACCCUGGUAGUC
rnacentral:rRNA from 1 species